GGCGCCCCGCGCUGCUGGCUGCGGAUUCGGGAGCCGGGCCGGACGAGGGCUGCUCCGUGGACGCCCUAGCGGUGAAGAGAAGGCCUACGCGCCGGAGCACCCGCAUGGGUGCGGACAGGAGAGGGCUUGCCAGCACUGUGCCUGGAGUUCGUUACUCUGCGCUCCCGGGUUCUUUGAAGGAACUCAAACACUCGAUUCCCGCUUGUGAUUUCUUUCUCUGCGCCCCAAACCACAGACAAGGGACUGUUGCUUUGCAGUACUCGCUUCCUGCCCAAAGUUUGCUGGGCUUAGAGGAUCUGGUUCCUGCUUCCUGGGGGAGAUUUCUAUUCAAAUUGAUUCAAAUUCAAACGAAUUUUGCAGCCCUAGCUGAAUGGGCCUUUCCCAGGGGCACUUAUUAACUGUCCCCACCCCCCACCUUGGGGAUUUUCUUACUCUGGAGUUCAGAAUCUUCUAUCCCAAGAUAAAUACCGCCUCAUCAUUGAUUAGUCCAACUACCAUCUGGAUGACUUUAAUUACAAUACAUUCGAACUCACUAUGCACUUUGUUGGGGCUCUCUGCUCAAGAUGUUUAAUCUCUGCAAGACUCUACCCAAACAUUGCCUUAUCGGACUUCUAAGCUGUGUGGUGUGAGUAAUUUGAUGACUUUGAGGUCGUGCCUACCCGAACUGUUUCUCCUUAUGAGUAAUGAAAUUCAGGGAUCAUAUGAAUCGUUUGGCUUGUGAUCCAUAAGUUGAAAGUUAAAACUAACCGUGAAGCUUAGAUUUAAUGACUAUCUCUCCUUUUAAAAAAAAUCAAUAUUGGCUUAACACCUAUCACGUGCUUAGCAAAGAGAUCUCUCAAGAUAAAGACUAGCACAAAGGUUUAAGCCAAUCAGACAGGCGUAACGGAAGACCUAAUAGAGCUGAUACUCUCUAUCUCUGGUGACUAUCUAAACUUCUGUAAUACCUGCCAUUAGAUCUGCCAUCCCCUCCGAGACUGAUUUUGUUCUGAGACUAUGUUUUCCUCCUGGCGCCUUCAUUCUUUUGUUUCUAUGCUGUUUUUAGUGAAAAACCUUCUGCACCUGUGACUCUUGCAGCCUGGUCCCCCGGUGGGGAAGAAAAGAAAGUAGUGGUAAUUUACAAAUGAAUUCGAAGGUGUGGACGCAGUAGACCUUUCCAGUUUUAUGUUAAUCUCAUUAAGCAUUUACCUAGGAUAUCUUUGGAAAGUGGUUUUCCUUGAGGAAGGAAUUUGCCAAAUCUCAGAUCCAGCUGAGAAGUACGGCAAAUAUCCUCCUCCCUCUACAACAUUUACUUCCAGCAGACUGGUGAUCUGGAGUCUAAAUGAAGCAAGUCUUCACAACUAGCUAAUAUAUUUAUAAGUACUUUUGUGAGCACUAAAUUUUUGUCUCUGUGGAACGUGUGGGAAACGGAGUGGUAUGCUGUAAAUGUUUUAUAGAAUUUAGUUGGAGAUACAACCAGUAUUGAAGGGUGAGUUUACAGAUUAAAUCCAAACAAGUGGCAGUAAAACCUUUAUAGUCUUUACAACAGUAUGCAGUUUGUUUAUACCACAGAAAUCAGAGAAAAGACAUUAAGGAAAAAUUGUAGUAAUUUGAAAUAAUAUUCUUAUUUCCAUAUAUCUUCCUGAAUAAAGUUUUGUUUAACCCAAAAACAAUACGAGUAUUUUCUCAACUGUUAGGUUCUUAUGAAUAUCAUUACUAAAUAACUUUAUAUAUGUAUACAUGUUUAUAGGGCACAGUGUGGAACUCUGAUACAGGUAAGCAAAUAUUUUAAAGUUGUAAAGCCAUGUAUCCUUGACUUUUAAACUCAUCCUGAAUGAAUGAAUGAUCUUAAGAAGGGUGCCCCACCACUGCAAGCUUUGCAUGUCUGUUUCAAGGUGCCCCACCACUGCAAGCUUUGCAUGUCUGUUUCAAGGUGCCCCACCACUGCAAGCUUUGCAUGUCUGUUUCAAGGUGCCCCACCACUGCAAGCUUUGCAUGUCUGUUUCAACUCAAGCCUAACCAAGCCGGUUCAAGCCUGUUCCCGGAUCAAAAGUUUAGAAUGAGCGUUGCUUUUCUUGUUUUUAAAUAAGAAAUCCAGUUGUGUGUGUGGUGGUGAUGAUGUAGCUCUCAGAGAAAACUCUCACCUAACAUAUGCCCUGGGUUGAAUCCCCAGCACUUCAAAAUAAUUAAAAAUAAAUAUGACAAAAUAG
rnacentral:lncRNA from 1 species